rnacentral:rRNA from 1 species
UUGACGGGGCCCGCACAAGCGGUGGAUUAUGUGGAUUAAUCGAUGCAACGCGAAAACCUUACCUACCCUUGACAUGCUAGGAACUUGCCAGAGAUGGCUUGGUGCCCGAAAGGGAACCUAGACACAGGUGCUGCAUGGCUGUCGUCAGCUCGUGUCGUGAGAUGUUGGGUUAAGUCCCGCAACGAGCGCAACCCUUGUCAUUAAUUGCCAUCAUUCAGUUGGGCACUUUAAUGAGACUGCCGGUGACAAACCGGAGGAAGGCGGGGAUGACGUCAAGUCAUCAUGGCCCUUACGGCCUGGGCUACACACGUGCUACAAUGGUCGGUACAAAGGGUUGCCAAGCCGCGAGGUGGAGCUAAUCCCAUAAAACCGAUCGUAGUCCGGAUCGCAGUCUGCAACUCGACUGCGUGAAGUCGGAAUCGCUAGUAAUCGUGAAUCAGAAUGUCACGGUGAAUACGUUCCCGGGCCUU